CGUGUAUUCCUCCGUCCAACAAAAAAUGUCUCAAGUUUGUCAAAAUUUGAAUGUAUCUAGACAUGACUUAUGACUUAGUAUAUAGGUGCAUUCAAAUUUGGUUAAAAUUGAGACAUUUUUGUUGGACGGAGGGAGUAUAAU
rfam:Brachypodium distachyon strain Bd21 chromosome 5, whole genome shotgun sequence.